rnacentral:rRNA from 1 species
UACGUAGGCAGCAAGCGUUGUUCGGAGUUACUGGGCGUAAAGGGUGCGUAGGCGGUCCUGUAAGUAUGGUGUGAAAUCUCCCGGCUUAACUGGGAGGGUGCGCUAUAGACUGCGGGACUAGAGGGUGGGAGAGGAAAGUGGAAUUCCUGGUGUAGCGGUGAAAUGCGUAGAUAUCAGGAGGAACACCGGUGGUGUAAACGGCUUUCUGGACCAUUUCUGACGCUUGAGGCACGAAAGCGUGGGUAGCAAACAGG